rnacentral:rRNA from 1 species
CCUACGGGAGGCAGCAGUAGGGAAUCUUUCACAAUGGGCGAAAGCCUGAUGGAGCAACGCCGCGUGCAGGACGAAGGCCUUCGGGUUGUAAACUGCUUUUAUAAGCGAGAAAUAUGAUGGUAACUUAUGAAUAAGGAUCGGCUAACUACGUGCCAGCAGCCGCGGUCAUACGUAGGAUCCGAGCAUUAUCCGGAGUGACUGGGUGUAAAGAGUUUCGUAGGUGGCAUAAUAAGUAGCUAGUGAAAUCUGGUGGCUCAACCAUUCAGACUAUUAGCUAAACUGUUAAGCUCGAGACCGUUAGGGGUAACUGGAAGUUCUAGUGUAGGAGUGAAAUCCGUAGAUAUUAGAAGGAACACCAAUAGCGUAGGCAGGUUGCUGGGACGGUUCUGACACUAAGGCACGAAAGCGUAGGGAGCAAACGGGAUUAGAUACCCUGGUAGUC